AGUGGCGGACGGGUGAGUAACGCGUGGGUAACCUACCUCAUACAGGGGGAUAACAGUUGGAAACGACCGCUAAUACCGCAUAACCCGCUAGUAUCGCAUGAUACGGACGGAAAAGAUUUAUCGGUAUGAGAUGGACCCGCGUCUGAUUAGCCAGUUGGCAGGGUAACGGCCUACCAAAGCAACGAUCAGUAGCCGGCCUGAGAGGGUGAACGGCCACAUUGGGACUGAGACACGGCCCAAACUCCUACGGAAGGCAGCAG
rnacentral:rRNA from 1 species